rnacentral:rRNA from 1 species
GAUGAACGCUAGCUACAGGCUUAACACAUGCAAGUCGAGGGGCAGCAUUUCAGUUUGCUUGCAAACUGGAGAUGGCGACCGGCGCACGGGUGAGUAACACGUAUCCAACCUGCCGAUAACUCGGGGAUAGCCUUUCGAAAGAAAGAUUAAUACCCGAUGGUAUAAUCAGACCGCAUGGUUUGAUUAUUAAAGAAUUUCGGUUAUCGAUGGGGAUGCGUUCCAUUAGGCAGUUGGUGAGGUAACGGCUCACCAAACCUUCGAUGGAUAGGGGUUCUGAGAGGAAGGUCCCCCACAUUGGAACUGAGACACGGUCCAAACUCCUACGGGAGGCAGCAGUGAGGAAUAUUGGUCAAUGGGCGCAGGCCUGAACCAGCCAAGUAGCGUGAAGGAUGACUGCCCUAUGGGUUGUAAACUUCUUUUAUAUGGGAAUAAAGUUUUCCACGUGUGGAAUUUUGUAUGUACCAUAUGAAUAAGGAUCGGCUAACUCCGUGCCAGCAGCCGCGGUAAUACGGAGGAUCCGAGCGUUAUCCGGAUUUAUUGGGUUUAAAGGGAGCGUAGGUGGACAGUUAAGUCAGUUGUGAAAGUUUGCGGCUCAACCGUAAAAUUGCAGUUGAUACUGGCUGUCUUGAGUACAGUAGAGGUGGGCGGAAUUCGUGGUGUAGCGGUGAAAUGCUUAGAUAUCACGAAGAACUCCGAUUGCGAAGGCAGCUCACUGGACUGCAACUGACACUGAUGCUCGAAAGUGUGGGUAUCAAACAGGAUUAGAUACCCUGGUAGUCCACACAGUAAACGAUGAAUACUCGCUGUUUGCGAUAUACAGUAAGCGGCCAAGCGAAAGCAUUAAGUAUUCCACCUGGGGAGUACGCCGGCAACGGUGAAACUCAAAGGAAUUGACGGGGGCCCGCACAAGCGGAGGAACAUGUGGUUUAAUUCGAUGAUACGCGAGGAACCUUACCCGGGCUUAAAUUGCAUUUGAAUAAUCUGGAAACAGGUUAGCCGCAAGGCAAAUGUGAAGGUGCUGCAUGGUUGUCGUCAGCUCGUGCCGUGAGGUGUCGGCUUAAGUGCCAUAACGAGCGCAACCCUUAUCUUUAGUUACUAACAGGUCAUGCUGAGGACUCUAGAGAGACUGCCGUCGUAAGAUGUGAGGAAGGUGGGGAUGACGUCAAAUCAGCACGGCCCUUACGUCCGGGGCUACACACGUGUUACAAUGGGGGGUACAGAAGGCAGCUACCUGGUGACAGGAUGCUAAUCCCAAAAGCCUCUCUCAGUUCGGAUCGAAGUCUGCAACCCGACUUCGUGAAGCUGGAUUCGCUAGUAAUCGCGCAUCAGCCAUGGCGCGGUGAAUACGUUCCCGGGCCUUGUACACACCGCCCGUCAAGCCAUGAAAGCCGGGGGUACCUGAAGUACGUAACCGCAAGGAGCGUCCUAGGGUAAAACUGGUAAUUGGGGCUAAGUCGUAACAAGGUAGCCGUACCGGAAGG